GAGAAGUGUUAUCUGCACUGGACCGUGUACAAGUCUCCUGGAAUGGAGCGUCAUAGAGGGUGAGAAUCCCGUCUUUGACACGGACUACCAGGGCUUUGUGAUACACUCUCAAAGAGUCGAGUUGUUUGGGAAUGCAGCUCAAAAUGGGUGGUAAAUUCCAUCUNAAGCUAAAUAUUGGCGAGAGACCGAUAGCGAACAAGUACCGUGAGGGAAAGAUGAAAAGAACUUUGGAAAGAGAGUUAAAUAGUACGUGAAAUUGCUGAAAGGGAAACGCUUGAAGUCAGUCGCGUUGUCUAGGAAUCAACCUUGCUUUUGCUUGGUGUAUUUCCUGGUUAACGGGUCAGUAUCAAUUUUGAUCAUUGGAGAAAGGUUAGGGGAAUGUGGCAUCUUUGGAUGUGUUAUAGCCCUUGAUUGUAUACAGUGGUUGGGAUUGAGGAACUCAGCAUGCCGCAAGGUCGGGUUAUUUAACCACGUUACAUGCUUAGGAUACUGGCAUANNGGCUUUNAUCGACCCGUCUUGAAACACGGACCAAGGAGUCUAAACAUACCUGCAAGUGNUUGAGUGNAAAAACUCGAGCGCGUAAUGAAAGUGAAAGUUGAGAUCUCUGUCAUGGAGAGCAU
rnacentral:rRNA from 1 species